GUGCCCGUUUCGGCAGCACACGUACUGAAGUUGGAACGAUACAGGGCAGGUUAGCAUGGCCCCUGCGCAAGGAUGACAUGAAAGUUUGUAAAGUGUUCCUUUUUUUU